GCGGUUUCCUUAAUGGACAGCGGCCCUGAGGAACAUCUCCAAACAUGGGCUGGAACUUCCCAGGGGUAAACUCUCACUCCUUACACUCCUUCAGAGCGACUCAUUGUAGGGUGGGUGGGGGUAAUUAAAGUUUUAGGUAGAUGAAGCAAGGGUUAAAUCCCACAGCCCCCAAUAUCUGUGUGUAGUCGAACCACAAUGCUGUACCACAGGAAACCGCCCACCGGAGUGAAAACAGACCAGGAAACGUGAGUUUGAUGUCAUUCACCUUCGUGUGGUUACGUCACGUCCGCACAGAGAAAGAAGACCUGGCUACCGUAUCGUGUGUGUGGGGGCUGAGGAUGGUGGAGUGUUUGUAGCUUGCUUUUAUAAGAGUUGCUUAGAAUUGAAACUUGUGAUCUAGGUGGCUGCUUUAAUCUGGAUCAUUCUAAACGCAAUCAAUCAUCGCUGACCUCUGGGGAAAUCAGCUGUUGUCAAAACCAAGAAACCUCAAACUGCGGAGAACCUGCAGUCAAAAAGGGAAAGCGACAGGGCCGGUGCUAAACCUAGAAUAAAUAUAGGCAUGGUUUUUGAGACAUGGUGAUAACUCCAAUAUCUGAAGGGAUUGAAGACUGACGCAGAGAUGGGUUUUUUCCUGCUGAACAUGUCAGACAUUUCAGUGGCUCAAUAGGUAGCUAGCUAAAAUUAGCGCACUUAUUGGCUUUAUUCAGCUAGGAGUUUCCAAUGUUUGUUUGUUUGUUUGUUUUGCUACACUUAUAAAUUACACUUAUCUUCUGCUAGCUAGGAGAGGGAGUAAUUCCCUUCGUUCCAAGAAAACUCUAUUCGCCGCCACCUCCAUUGUGAAGGAUCAGUGCUGAUAUACAACCCAUAACUAUACCUCAAACCAUCAGAUUCAUCCACACAGAGGAGCAGUGCCGAAGCACAACUCACGUAAAAAUAAAUAACUAACUCUGCAAGUAACUUGCAAUUUUAAGUUUCAAAACAGAGAUGGCGUUAGAGGGGAAAAGGUUUUAAUAUAAAUGUAAGACCGAUAUUACAGUAGUGUAUUUGGCUCACCAAUCAAGUGCACUUAAAUGCCUUGAAUAAAAUACAAAUUUUAAAGUCCGAGUGUACAUAAUGACGGUGGUUAAAAUACAAUGAUUUAGGUAGUCGAUGGAACUAAUCUUAAAAUGUAUCCAUAUUUAACUGCCAGUACUGUAAACUGUAAUUAAACCUCCACAUCUUAUAAAAGAA